rnacentral:tRNA from 1 species
GAGCCGUUAGCUCAAUAGGUAGAGCAACUGACUCUUAAUCAGUAGGUUACAGGUUCAAUUCCUGUACGGCUCA